CAGCCCCCGCGGUAAUGCGAAGGGUGCAAGCGUUAAUCGGAAUUACUGGGCGUAAAGCGUGCGUAGGCGGUGAGUUAAGUCUGCUGUGAAAUCCCCGGGCUCAACCUGGGAAUGGCAGUGGAUACUGGCUCGCUAGAGUGUGUCAGAGGAUGGUGGAAUUCCCGGUGUAGCGGUGAAAUGCGUAGAGAUCGGGAGGAACAUCAGUGGCGAAGGCGGCCAUCUGGGACAACACUGACGCUGAGGCACGAAAGCGUGGGGAGCAAACAGGAUUAGAUACCCCCGUAGUCCCUGUCUCUUAUAC
rnacentral:rRNA from 1 species